GUUUAAAAAGAGGGAAUUGUGUUUUUGACUGGUUGCCUGUCUACCGGAGGUCUGUUGUAGGGUUGUCAUGGUGAUGACUAGACCUCGCGUUUUGGGGGUAUACUGUCCCUUUAAGAGCCGCCGUAAGCCAGAGCACGCAUGCACUCAAGUUUGUGUCACACUGAGCGCUGUGAGCGGGAGCACUGGAGAGUUAGAGACUGCAAAAGAUUCUGUGGCUAGCUACACACGAGGUAAAUGUGCUAAAAAGUGUAGCAUACUGCAAAAUAUUGUCACCAGUGUUGUAGUAGACUGUAAUUAGCUAAGUUUCUUUAGCAAUGACUCCAUGUUUGUGACCAUUUCUGUACAGUUCUUAACGCGCGACGGGUGCAUGUUUAAUGGUCACGUGCCGUGAAAAGGGACUGAAGAGCGGGUUGGCAGGGGAGAUUACUUGCUGUGUGAUUCCUGCGUGUGUACUUGUCCUAGCACAGUAGCUGUGUGGAGAAACCGAAGGGAGUUCAUGAUGUUCUCCCAUAGAAAUGUCACUACUGUUGUCUAUACUGUUUGGAUUUAACAUGUACAUAUGAUAGUUACUGUUGUCUCAGACCCUGAAAGGCAGUUUAGGCUGAGCCAGUGGAAUAGUUAAAUUUUGCCGUUUCACUCAAAACUACAGAAUUAAAACUGUGCUCCUCCGAGUACAGUCGGAGAAUAAAAAAGCCCACAAAAGAGUAUUUCCUGUGUCCUGUCUCAUUCCCCAUGACCGGGCCAC
ensembl:lncRNA